CUCUUAUCCAGAGAGGUGGAGGGAUGUGCCCUAUGAAGCCCGGCAACCGGCAAUCAUGACAGCCAUGAUUGAAAAGGUGCCAAUUCACACAGGAUUAUUAAGUCCUGGAAGAUGAGAG
rfam:Bacillus sp. FJAT-27916 Scaffold1, whole genome shotgun sequence.